rnacentral:rRNA from 1 species
CAAGUCGAGCGGUAGCACAGAGAGCUUGCUCUCGGGUGACGAGCGGCGGACGGGUGAGUAAUGUCUGGGAAACUGCCUGAUGGAGGGGGAUAACUACUGGAAACGGUAGCUAAUACCGCAUAAUGUCGCAAGACCAAAGUGGGGGACCUUCGGGCCUCAUGCCAUCAGAUGUGCCCAGAUGGGAUUAGCUAGUAGGUGGGGUAACGGCUCACCUAGGCGACGAUCCCUAGCUGGUCUGAGAGGAUGACCAGCCACACUGGAACUGAGACACGGUCCAGACUCCUACGGGAGGCAGCAGUGGGGAAUAUUGCACAAUGGGCGCAAGCCUGAUGCAACCAUGCCGC